UAUCAAUUUUCGAGGAGGAAGAUGGAAAGCAGCGCACUGUCGCUGGCUUUCUCUGCAUAUGCACGUCUUUGCUUUUCAUCAACCUUUCUCACAUAUACACACCUGUGCACCCAUUGUAGGUCCUCGAAAGGGGAUCUAUGUUUCUUCAUAUCACACCCCUCGUAUGUUCAUAGAAUGUAUCAAAGACUGUCGACCAGGCUUGGUCCUGAUUGACAGGUCGAAUAAACUAUACAACUUUCAGCAACGGAUCUCUUGGCUCUCGCAUCGAUGAAGAACGCAGCGAAUUGCGAUAAGUAAUGUGAAUUGCAGAUUUCCAGUGAAUCAUCGAAUCUUUGAACGCACCUUGCGCUCCUUGGUAUUCCGAGGAGCAUGCCUGUUUGAGUGUCAUCGAAUUCUCAACCAUGUCUUGAUCAAUUUCAAGAGCAUGGCUUGGAGUUUGGGGGUUGCUGGCGGCAAAAGGCUGUCAGCUCUCCUGAAAUGCAUUAGCAAUGGGUCGCUAAGUCUUUUGAUGUGCAUGGCCUUCGACGUGAUAAUGAUCGUCGUGGCUGGAGCGUCAAGUCGGACUCAUGCAUGAAUGGCCUAGCAUUGCUUCUAAUCCAGAUCCUCUCGUCUCAGAACCAGCGGGUGAGCUUCAAGUAUUAGCUACUAGUCGGUCGUCAGGCCAGCGAACACUAGUACAGCACAUCUAGCUUUCUGGGCGAGUCAUGUUCUCUUUCGAAACUUG
rnacentral:misc_RNA from 1 species